CCUUUUUUGCUCUCUUAGCACACAAAGCAAUUUUCUAAAAAUCUCAAUUUAUACCUGCAUAGAAGAAUGGCUUCAUUCCAAAAGCAAUUAGCUGUGUUCAUGCUCCUCUUCUGGGUCGCUACAGUUGGCAAAUUUUCAGGGUCACCAAAGAUGCUGGUUAUGGCUGUACGUGAUUUACCUUUGGAGGUAGCUGCCAUGGAACAAGCUUUGUUUCUAAAUUCACUAAUCACUUGCCAGAGAGCAUGUAAAACAAACAACGAUUGCUCAGACGGUAUUGUUUGCAGGACAUGCCAUUAUUUUCCAGAGGAGAAUGAGAGAAUUUGUCUCGCUCGUUAAAUGGAUAUUUUCGAAUGUCGUGUGUAUGUCAUUUAAUAAUAAAGCAAUUUUGCAAUUGCUUAAGCUGUAUGUUGCACAAAUUGCACCGUCAAAUGUUUGUACUGUAAACAUGUCUUAAGUAUCGUAUGUUGUUGUGUCGUCUUUAAUUUGUUUUCAUGUUAUAUAUGUAUUAUGGUCAGUGUAUGUGUUCCACGUUAUGUAUUAUCAAUGUAUGGUGUAGAUUGUAGUACGAUGAAUGCUAUAUAUGUAUUAUCA